rnacentral:rRNA from 1 species
GAUGAACGCUGGCGGCGUGCUUAACACAUGCAAGUCGAACGAACGACUAUUAACAGAACCUUUCGGGGCGAAGAUGAUAGAAGUUAGUGGCGGACGGGUGCGUAACGCGUGGGUAAUCUGCCUUUGUCAAAGGAAUAACUAUUCGAAAGAAUAGCUAAAACCGUAUAACAUAUUAAUAGGGCAUCCUAAUAAUAUCAAAACGAUAGUGGACAAAGAUGAGCCCGCGUCUGAUUAGCUAGUUGGUGAGAUAAAAGCCCACCAAGGCAACGAUCAGUAGCCGACCUGAGAGGGUGAACGGCCACAUUGGAACUGAGACACGGCCCAAACUCCUACGGGAGGCAGCAGUGGGGAAUAUUGCACAAUGGGGGGAACCCUGAUGCAGCAACGCCGCGUGAGUGAAGAAGGC